GCGGUAGAUGGCAGAGCCCGGCUUGUUAGCCCGAUGAGCCAUAGCAGCAAACAGCCCAACAGAGGGGAUCUGGAAAAGCUCAAUGUCCAGAGUCUCUGAGUUUUACCAUAUGGAGGGAGCAAGACGUCAUUCAUCUGGGAUUUCACUGGCAAGUUUGACAGGAUUGUAGGGACAGAAAGCUCAACCAGUGAUGGAUUGGAAGAGGGACAAACACGUGGCGUCGCAUCUGAUCCGGGCAAAAGGACAAGCUGGCGCAGUAAACCCUUAAGAAAGAAGACAGAUCAUCAUCUUACCAACAGAGAACAGGCCUUUCCACUUCCUUCGACUUCCAAUGUGGAACCUGGAACCAUCGGUGCUGAGAUCAGAGGGAAAAGGCUGUUUAUGGACCCUGAAACCCAUCAGGGAAGUACAUUACUCACAGAACUAAACUUUAAACUGCAACAUAUUUCGUUUCAGAAUCUAUUCAAUUUUUGUGGUUUCGUAAGAUCCUGCCCCUAGAAAUAACAGAUGUUGUGGUUCACUGUUCUUAAAACAUGUAAUAAAAUGAAAUUUGCAUUUAAUUUGUAGUUAAUUGCUCAAGAAUUCAUUGCAAGAGUAUGUGCACUUUUGGCCAAGAAAUUGUAACUCACAGUUCCAGAGGAACAC